rnacentral:rRNA from 1 species
UACGUAGGUCCCGAGCGUUGUCCGGAUUUAUUGGGCGUAAAGCGAGCGCAGGUGGUUUAUUAAGUCUGGUGUAAAAGGCAGUGGCUCAACCAUUGUAUGCAUUGGAAACUGGUAGACUUGAGUGCAGGAGAGGAGAGUGGAAUUCCAUGUGUAGCGGUGAAAUGCGUAGAUAUCAGGAGGAACACCGGCGGCGAAGGCGGCCUGCUGGACCGCGACUGACGUUGAGGCUCGAAAGCGUGGGGAGCGAACAGG